UACGUAGGGAGCAAGCGUUGUCCGGAAUCAUUGGGCGUAAAGCGCGCGUAGGUGGCCUCAUAAGUCCGCUGUGAAAGUCAAAGGCUCAACCUUUGAAAGCCGGUGGAUACUGUGGGGCUAGAGUACGGAAGAGGCGAGUGGAAUUCCUGGUGUAGCGGUGGAAUGCGCAGAUAUCAGGAGGAACACCAAUAGCGAAGGCAGCUCGCUGGGACGUUACUGACGCUAAGGCGCGAAAGCGUGGGGAGCGAACAGG
rnacentral:rRNA from 1 species